rnacentral:rRNA from 1 species
UACAGAGGUCUCAAGCGUUGUUCGGAUUCAUUGGGCGUAAAGGGUGCGUAGGCGGUGAAGUAAGUUGGAUGUGAAAUCCCGGAGCUUAACUCCGGAACUGCAUUCAAUACUGCUUUGCUAGAGUACUGGAGAGGAGAUUGGAAUUCACGGUGUAGCAGUGAAAUGCGUAGAUAUCGUGAGGAAGACCAGUGGCGAAGGCGAAUCUCUGGACAGUUACUGACGCUGAGGCACGAAGGCCAGGGGAGCAAACGGG